rnacentral:rRNA from 1 species
UACGGAGGGUGCAAGCGUUAUCCGGAUUCACUGGGUUUAAAGGGUGCGUAGGUGGGCAGGUAAGUCAGUGGUGAAAUCUCCGGGCUUAACCCGGAAACUGCCAUUGAUACUAUCUGUCUUGAAUACCGUGGGGGUGAGCGGAAUAUGUCAUGUAGCGGUGAAAUGCUUAGAUAUGACAUAGAACACCAAUUGCGAAGGCAGCUCACUACACGAAUAUUGACACUGAGGCACGAAAGCGUGGGGAUCAAACAGG